rnacentral:rRNA from 1 species
UACGUAGGGUGCAAGCGUUGUCCGGAAUUAUUGGGCGUAAAGAGCUCGUAGGCGGUUUGUCGCGUCUGCUGUGAAAACGCGAGGCUCAACCUCGCGCCUGCAGUGGGUACGGGCAGACUAGAGUGCGGUAGGGGAGAUUGGAAUUCCUGGUGUAGCGGUGGAAUGCGCAGAUAUCAGGAGGAACACCGAUGGCGAAGGCAGAUCUCUGGGCCGUAACUGACGCUGAGGAGCGAAAAGCGUGGGGAGCGAACAGG